rnacentral:rRNA from 1 species
UACAGAGGUCUCAAGCGUUGUUCGGAUUCAUUGGGCGUAAAGGGUGCGUAGGCGGCGCGGUAAGUCGGGUGUGAAAUCGUCGGGCUUAACUCCGAAACUGCAUUCGAUACUGCCGUGCUUGAGGACUGGAGAGGAGACUGGAAUUUACGGUGUAGCGGUGAAAUGCGUAGAUAUCGUAAGGAAGACCAGUGGCGAAGGCGGGUCUCUGGACAGUUCCUGACACUGAGGCACGAAGGCCAGGGGAGCAAACGGG